rnacentral:rRNA from 1 species
GGGAUUGCCUUAGUAACGGCGAGUGAAGCGGCAAUGGCUCAAAUUUGAAAUCUGGCGCUUGCGUCCGAGUUGUAAUUUGUAGAGGAUGUUUCAGGCAAGGUUGUGGUUUAAAUUUCUUGGAACAGAAUGUCAUAGAGGGUGAGAGUCCCGUCUAGAACCGUAUACCGCGUCCAUGUGAAACUCCUUCGACGAGUCGAGUUGUUUGGGAAUGCAGCUCAAAAUGGGAGGUAAAUUUCUUCUAAAGCUAAAUAUUGGCCAGAGACCGAUAGCGCACAAGUAGAGUGAUCGAAAGAUGAAAAGCACUUUGAAAAGAGAGUUAAACAGUAUGUGAAAUUGUUGAAAGGGAAGCGCUUGCAACCAGACUUGUGUUUAACGGUUCCACCACUGUUCUCAGUGGUCUAUUCCGUCAUAUCCAGGCCAGCAUCGGUUUGGGUGGUUAGUUAAAGACUUUGGGAAUGUAUCUAUCCUUCGGGGUCGACUUAUAGCCCUUGGUGUAAUGUGACCUACCCGGACCGAGGCACGCGCAUCUGCUCGGAUGCUGG